AGAGUUUGAUCAUGGCUCAGGAUGAACGCUAGCUACAGGCUUAACACAUGCAAGUCGAGGGGCAGCAUGUUGGUUGCUUGCAACCAAUGAUGGCGACCGGCGCACGGGUGAGUAACGCGUAUCCAGCCUACCCUUGUCCAUCGGAUAACCCGUCGAAAGGCGGCCUAACACGAUAUGCGGUUCACAGCAGGCAUCUAAGGUGAACGAAAUGUGAAGGAGAAGGAUGGGGAUGCGUCUGAUUAGCUUGUUGGCGGGUAACGGCCACCAUGGCUACGAUCAGUAGGGUUCUGAGAGGAAGGUCCCCACAUUGGAACUGAGACACGGUCCAAACUCCUACGGGAGCA
rnacentral:rRNA from 1 species